UACGUAGGGUCCGAGCGUUGUCCGGAAUUAUUGGGCGUAAAGGGCUCGUAGGCGGUCCGUCACGUCGGGAGUGAAAACUCGGAGCUCAACUCCGAGCCUGCUUCCGAUACGGGCAGACUAGAGGUAGGCAGGGGAGAGCGGAACUCCUGGUGUAGCGGUGGAAUGCGCGGAUAUCAGGAAGAACACCAAUGGCGAAAGCAGCUUUCUGGGACGGUACUGACGCUGAGACGCGAAAGCGUGGGGAGCGAACAGG
rnacentral:rRNA from 1 species